AUCCAGCUAAAGAGUUCUAAACAGGGCGAAAUGUAUAUUCUGGAU
rnacentral:hammerhead_ribozyme from 1 species